CCUACGGGAGGCAGCAGUGGGGAAUAUUGCACAAUGGGGGAAACCCUGAUGCAGCGACGCCGCGUGAGUGAAGAAGUAUUUCGGUAUGUAAAGCUCUAUCAGCAGGGAAGAAAAUGACGGUACCUGACUAAGAAGCCCCGGCUAACUACGUGCCAGCAGCCGCGGUAAUACGUAGGGGGCAAGCGUUAUCCGGAUUUACUGGGUGUAAAGGGAGCGUAGGCGGUGAUGCAAGUCAGAAGUGAAAGCCCAGGGCUCAACCACGGGACUACUUUUGAAACUGUAAUGCUAGAGUGCAGGAGAGGUAAGUGGAAUUCCUAGUGUAGCGGUGAAAUGCGUAGAUAUUAGGAGGAACACCAGUGGCGAAGGCGGCUUACUGGACUGUAAAUGACGCUGAGGCUCGAAGGCGUGGGGAGCAAACAGGAUUAGAUACCCUAGUAGUC
rnacentral:rRNA from 1 species